rnacentral:rRNA from 1 species
UUUUAAAUUGAGAGUUUGAUCCUGGCUCAGGAUGAACGCUGGCGGCGUGCUUAACACAUGCAAGUCGAGCGAUGAAGUUUCC